rnacentral:rRNA from 1 species
UACGUAGGGUGCAGGCGUUUAAUCGGAAUUACUGGGCGUAAAGCGUGCGCAGGCGGCUCCUUAAGUCAGAUGUGAAAGCCCCGGGCUUAACCUGGGAACUGCGUUUGAAACUGGGGAGCUAGAGUGUAGAAGAGGGGGGUGGAAUUCCAGGUGUAGCAGUGAAAUGCGUAGAGAUCUGGAGGAACACCGAUGGCGAAGGCAGCCCCCUGGGCUAACACUGACGCUCAUGCACGAAAGCGUGGGGAGCAAACGGG